rnacentral:rRNA from 1 species
CAGCCGCCACGGGAAUACGAAGGGCGCAAGCGUUAAUCGGAAUUACUGGGCGUAAAGCGCACGCAGGCGGUUUGUUAAGUCAGAUGUGAAAUCCCCGAGCUUAACUUGGGAACUGCAUUUGAAACUGGCAAGCUAGGGUCUUGUAGAGGGGGGUAGAAUUCCAGGUGUAGCGGUGAAAUGCGUAGAGAUCUGGAGGAAUACCGGUGGCGCAGGCGGCCCCCUGGACAAAGACUGACGCUCAGGUGCGAAAGCGUGGGGAGCAAACAGGAUUAGAUACCCCGGUAGUCCCUGUCUCUUAUAC